UCCAUCCUUGUUCCCACCACCGGAAAUUUCUCUUCCGCUGCUAUCCAUGGAGAGCUUUCCCGCGAACCGACUCCCGGAAGCGGACUCGCUGCCCGACGGCUUCGUCGAGAGCUCCACCGAGCCCCCGGCGCCGCCGCCGGACUACAAGGACGCGUUGCACGGUCUUGAUCCCUCCGGCGAGCUGGGAGACGGAUCGUCACUCUCUGGCGCAUCCGAAACCCUAAAUCCAGCCAGCUUAGCGGAUGGGCUGGAGAAGUUGACGGCGAAAAUAUCUACUGCUUUCCUGUCACAAAAGGACAGUCUUGAUCAUCGCGAUGAUUCAGUGGGAGUGGAAGAUCGUAUCUUGAUGCCUAUACCGGGCAAUGAUCCAUUGGAGAAGUCGAAGGAGCUGAAUUCGCCCCAGAACGAGAUCUCGGUGUCCUCGUCUUCAGAAGAAAGCCGAGGGGAUUGUCAGUCCUCUGAAAAAGAUGCUAAAGGGUACUUGGAGUUACAUACCACCAAUUUGAAGGAAAGAUCCACUGUAGAAUGUGCUGAUAUUUUAAAACAUCAAAAGGAAAAUACUGAAGCAAAGCGUAAAGCUGUAAAGCGUGGAAUAAAGUCAGAAAAAGAGCUAUUAGAGUUUACUUUGAAUUAUCAGAAAGUUAUAGCAGAAAGAGAUGCUGCUGUUGCUGUUCGAGAAAGGCUUGAGUCACUUUGUAGAGAGCUGCAGCGUCACAAUAAGAUGCUCAUGGAUGAAUGCCAAAGAGUAUCAACUGAGGGACAGAAUAUGAGACUAGACUUGUCUGCAAAAUUUAAUGAUGCAAUCAAGGAUGUAAACAAUAAGCUCGAGGAGCAGAAAAAUGAUUGCCUUUCUCAACUCAGAGAGAAUGAGAUGCUGAGAAAUAAGUUAAAACAUCUUGCUGAUCAAUAUGACCUCUCUGAACAACAGUUUGCUCAAAAAUUGAAACAAAAAGCCCUAGAACUUCAGCUUGCUGAUCUGAAAAUUGAAAAACAACAAGAGAAGUCUGCUCAAGAACGAACUCAGAUGCAACUAUAUGCCGAACAAAUUGCACAGCUUGUGGCCACUGAGAAGAGUUUGCGUUUACAGCUUGCAGCUGAUGGGGAAAAAUUUCAGCAGUUUCAGGAAGCUUUGUCAAAAAGCAACAAUGUCUUUGAAGCAUUUAAGCAGGAGAUGGAAGAGAUGGCAAAGUUGAUAAAGGAACAUGAGAAGGAAAAUGAAUUUUUAAAGAGCAAGUGUGAGAAGUCGGAUAUUGCCCUCGUGAAGCUUGUUGAGGAGCGGGAACUUAUGAAGAAACAGCUCGAAAAAGUGAAGAACCAGAAAGAGAAGCUUGAAUCUUUGUGCCGAUCACUACAGGCAGAAAGGAAACAUAAUUUAGUUGGUAGCAAUACAGAUCCAGUUAAUAUGCGAGUCAAAGGAGCUCCAGCAAAUGAAGAUUCCCAGAGCUAAUAGAUUUUGGCAGUUCUCACUAGCAAAAAUUUGCCUGAAAUUUCAGAUUUUGUUUGCUGUAACUGAAGUGCAGUACCAGUGGUUGAUUUACUGAAGUCCUUGUGACUAUGACAAGCUUCCGAUUCAUGCUGCUCAUCUCUCUGCUGUCUCCUGCCCAGGAUUGCCCCAAACCACUGGUCACCAGCUCUCUCUCUCUCUGUGCGUGUGUGCGUCCGUGCGUGCGUGUGUGGACUGUGGUGGCAGCUCUGUGUCAGCUUCGAUAGCUCUGAAAGAGAUCAAGUAAUGAGAGCAAGUCCUCCCAGUUGGUUUAUGAAAUUUGAUUUGUCAUGUUUGUUUGAUCUAAACAUAUUUUUAUUUGUCAUUAUGCAAUGCACUACAGAGAACUAGAAAUUGUUUGAUGUUCCCCUGCUUUCACACUCUCAAUUGCAUCCAGGGUUUUAGAAUUUAUUCCACAUUGGCA